CCUACGGGCGGCAGCAGUGGGGAAUAUUGGACAAUGGGGGCAACCCUGAUCCAGCCAUGACGCGUGUGUGAAGAAGGCCCUCGGGUUGUAAAGCACUUUCAGUGAGGAAGAACGCCUGGUGGUUAAUACCCAUCAGGAAAGACAUCACUCACAGAAGAAGCACCGGCUAACUCCGUGCCAGCAGCCGCGGUAAUACGGAGGGUGCGAGCGUUAAUCGGAAUUACUGGGCGUAAAGCGCGCGUAGGUGGCUUGAUAAGCCGGUUGUGAAAGCCCCGGGCUCAACCUGGGAACGGCAUCCGGAACUGUCAAGCUAGAGUGCAGGAGAGGAAGGUAGAAUUCCCGGUGUAGCGGUGAAAUGCGUAGAGAUCGGGAGGAAUACCAGUGGCGAAGGCGGCCUUCUGGACUGACACUGACACUGAGGUGCGAAAGCGUGGGUAGCAAACAGGAUUAGAUACCCCUGUAGUC
rnacentral:rRNA from 1 species